UACAGAGGUCCCAAGCGUUGUUCGGAUUCAUUGGGCGUAAAGGGUGCGUAGGCGGCGCGGUAAGUCGGGUGUGAAAUCUCGGGGCUUAACUCCGAAACUGCAUUCGAUACUGCCGUGCUUGAGGACUGGAGAGGAGACUGGAAUUUACGGUGUAGCGGUGAAAUGCGUAGAUAUCGUAAGGAAGACCAGUGGCGAAGGCGGGUCUCUGGACAGUUCCUGACGCUGAGGAACGAAGGCCAGGGGAGCAAACGGG
rnacentral:rRNA from 1 species